rnacentral:rRNA from 1 species
GACGAACGCUGGCGGCGUGCUUAACACAUGCAAGUCGAACGGAAAGGCCUCUUUCGGGGGGUACUCGAGUGGCGAACGGGUGAGUAACACGUGAGUAACCUGCCCUUGACUUUGGGAUAACUUCAGGAAACUGGGGCUAAUACCGGAUAGGAGCUCCUGCUGCAUGGUGGGGGUUGGAAAGUUUCGGCGGUUGGGGAUGGACUCGCGGCUUAUCAGCUUGUUGGUGGGGUAGUGGCUACCAAGGCUUUGACGGGUAGCCGGCCUGAGAGGGUGACCGGCCACAGUGGGACUGAGAUACGGCCCAGACUCCUACGGGAGGCAGCAGUGGGGAAUAUUGCACAAGGGGUGGAAGCCUGAUGCAGCAACGCCGUGUGCGGGAUGACGGCCUUCGGGUUGUAAACCGCUUUCGCUCAUGACGAAGCUUUGUGUGACGGUAGUGGGUAAAGAAGCACCGGCUAACUACGUG